CCUACGGGCGGCAGCAGUGAGGAAUAUUGGUCAAUGGACGGAAGUCUGAACCAGCCAAGUAGCGUGAAGGAUGACUGCCCUAUGGGUUGUAAACUUCUUUUAUAUGGGGAUAAAAUGUUCCACGUGUGGGUUUUUGUAUGAACCAUAUGAAUAAGCAUCGGCUAACUCCGUGCCAGCAGCCGCGGUAAUACGGAGGAUCCGAGCGUUAUCCGGAUUUAUUUGGUUUAAAGGGUGCGUAGGCGGGUUGUUAAGUCAUUUGUGAAAGUUUGCGGCUCAACCGUAAAAUAGCAGUUGAAACUGGCAGUCUUGAGAACAGUAGAGGUGGGCGGAAUUCGUGGUGUAGCGGUGAAAUGCUUAGAUAUCACGAAGAACUCCGAUUGCGAAGGCAGCAUACUGGACUGGAACUGACACUGAGGCUCGAAAGUGUGGGUAUCAAACAGGAUUAGAUACCCGUGUAGUC
rnacentral:rRNA from 1 species